GGACCCGCACAAGCAGUGGAGCAUGUGGUUUAAUUCGAUGCAACGCGAAGAACCUUACCCAGACUUGACAUGUAGUGGACAGUUCUAGAAAUAGAAUCUCUCUUCGGAGCCGCUACACAGGUGCUGCAUGGCUGUCGUCAGCUCGUGCCGUGAGGUGUUUGGUUAAGUCCAGCAACGAGCGCAACCCUUAUCAUUAGUUGCCAACAUUUAAGGUGGGAACUCUAAUGAGACUGCCCGGGUUAACCGGGAGGAAGGUGAGGAUGACGUCAAGUCCGCAUGGCCCUUAUGUCUGGGGCUACACACGUGCUACAAUGGUCGGUACAGAAGGCAGCGAAGCCGCGAGGUGAAGCAAAUCCCUAAAGCCGAUCUCAGUUCAGAUUGUAGUCUGCAACUCGACUACAUGAAGACGGAAUUGCUAGUAAUGGCAGGUCAGCACACUGCCGUGAAUACGUUCCCGGGUCUU
rnacentral:rRNA from 1 species